rnacentral:rRNA from 1 species
AGAGUUUGAUCCUGGCUCAGAAUCAACGCUGGCGGCGCGCUUAACACAUGCAAGUCGAACGAGAAAGUCCGCAAGGAUGAGUAAAGUGGCGUACGGGUGAGUAACACGUGGAUAAUCCACCUCUUAGUGGGGAAUAACUCUGGGAAACCGGAGCUAAUACCGCAUAAGCCUGAGAAGGGAAAGCAGCAAUGCGCUGAGAGAGGAGUCCGCGGCCGAUUAGCUAGUUGGUAGGGUAAUGGCCUACCAAGGCGAUGAUCGGUAGCCGGCCUGAGAGGGCACACGGCCACACUGGCACUGAAACACGGGCCAGACUCCUACGGGAGGCAGCAGUGGGGAAUCUUGCACAAUGGGGGCAACCCUGAUGCAGCGACGCCGCGUGAACGAUGAAGCCCUUCGGGGUGUAAAGUUCUUUCGGCAGGAACGAUAAUGACGGUACCUGAAGAAGAAGCUGCGGCUAACUACGUGCCAGCAGCCGCGGUAAUACGUAGGCAGCAAGCGUUGUUCGGAGUUACUGGGCGUAAAGAGUGUGUAGGCGGUGCUCUAAGUUUGGUGUGAAAUCUCCCGGCUCAACUGGGAGGGUGCGCCGAAGACUGGAGUGCUUGAGUAUGGGAGAGGAAAGCGGAAUUCCUGGUGUAGCGGUGAAAUGCGUAGAUAUCAGGAGGAACACCUGCGGUGUAGACGGCUUUCUGGACCAUCACUGACGCUGAGACACGAAAGCGUGGGUAGCAAACAGGAUUAGAUACCCUGGUAGUCC